ensembl:lncRNA ZKSCAN7-AS1 ZKSCAN7 ZNF cluster antisense RNA 1
UUGGGUACUGAAGCUCGCGAGAGGAUCCUGGGGGCAGGCGCGUCGCGGUGGCAGUGUUUCUUGGGUGUGCGGGGCCGGGCGCCCCGUAGCCUCUGGUCUGCAUGGGGAUUACAGGUGUUUGGCAAGUGGCAUGGCAGAACAGAGAAUCUAGAUUCAGGACCUGGACUUGGAUAUAAGCUGUCACUUGUUACUUGGCCUUGCACUAAAUGACCAUUCUCAGGACAAGUUCAGCAACCCUAAAGGCAAACUGGCCUAGGGCCUGGGAAGUGGAGAAUGCCUAUUCCUAGGCUAACCCAAGCAUUAGAGAAGCAUCAGGCCGCCAUUCUAGACUCAACUGCUCACCUCCUCUGAUCCACUGAGGUGUCUCUGGAAAUCCUCCACCACAGCCACAGCCUCCUCACCACUCUCAGGGUGAUGCAGCUGCACCCAGGUCCGGAGCUCCCCAGGGAGGAUGCU